rnacentral:rRNA from 1 species
UACGUAGGGUGCGAGCGUUAAUCGGAAUUACUGGGCGUAAAGCGUGCGUAGGCGGUCUUUUAAGUCAGAUGUGAAAUCCCCGGGCUUAACCUGGGAACUGCGUUUGAAACUGGAAGGCUAGAGUGUGGCAGAGGGGGGUGGAAUUCCACGUGUAGCAGUGAAAUGCGUAGAUAUGUGGAGGAACACCGAUGGCGAAGGCAGCCCCCUGGGCUAACACUGACGCUCAUGCACGAAAGCGUGGGGAGCAAACAGG